GGACCGCACCGUGGAUCGAACACGGGGCCUCGUGCAUAUGCGCUAUCGUAGAUGAGCCCAAAGCACGAAUCAUACCACUAGACCAUGCGGUC